UACGUAGGGGUGCAAGCGUUAAUCGGAAUACUGGGCGUAAAGCGUGCGCAGGCGGUUUUGUAAGUCUGUCGUGAAAUCCCCGGGCUCAACCUGGGAAUUGCGAUGGAGACUGCAAGGCUAGAAUCUGGCAGAGGGGGGUAGAAUUCCACGUGUAGCAGUGAAAUGCGUAGAGAUGUGGAGGAACACCGAUGGCGAAGGCAGCCCCCUGGGUCAAGAUUGACGCUCAUGCACGAAAGCG
rnacentral:rRNA from 1 species